CAAAAAAGAAAAGAAAUGCAAAUAAAAAUGAUACGAGAAGAGGUAGCAAUAGCCUACCUGAACUAUUUCUUUUUUUUUGCUUUUUGCUUU
rnacentral:ribozyme from 1 species